rnacentral:piRNA from 1 species
UGUCACUCGUGACGAACCGACUUGGUCCAAC